rnacentral:rRNA from 1 species
UACGUAGGGGGCGAGCGUUAAUCGGAAUUACUGGGCGUAAAGCGUGCGUAGGCGGUUCGCUAAGUCAGCUGUGAAAGCCCCGGGCUCAACCUGGGAACUGCGGUUGAAACUGGCGAACUAGAAUCUGGCAGAGGGGGGUGGAAUUCCACGUGUAGCAGUGAAAUGCGUAGAGAUGUGGAGGAACACCGAUGGCGAAGGCAGCCCCCUGGGCUGAGAUUGACGCUCAGGCACGAAGGCGUGGGGAGCAAACAGG